AGUGAACGCUGGCGGUAGGCCUAACACAUGCAAGUCGAACGGCAGCACAGUAAGAGCUUGCUCUUACGGGUGGCGAGUGGCGGACGGGUGAGGAAUACAUCGGAAUCUACUUUUUCGUGGGGGAUAACGUAGGGAAACCUACGCUAAUACCGCAUACGACCUACGGGUGAAAGCAGGGGAUCUUCUGACCUUGCGCGAUUGAAUGAGCGGAUGUGGGAUUAGAUAGUUGGCGGGUGAAUGGCCCACCAAGGCGACGAUCCGUAGCUGGUCUGAGAGGAUGGUCGGCCACCCUGGAACUGAGACACGCUCCAGACUCCUACGGGACGCAGCAGUGGGGAAUGUUGGGCAGUGGGCGCGAGCAUGAUCCAGCCGUCCCGCGUGGGUGGAGAAGGCGUUCGGGUUGUAAAGCCGUUUUGUUGGGAAAGAAAAGCAGCAGCUUAAUACCCCGCUGUUCUGACGGUACCCAAAGAAUAAGCACCGGCUAACUUCGUG
rnacentral:rRNA from 1 species